AACGAACGCUGGCGGCAUGCCUAACACAUGCAAGACGAACGAGACCUUCGGGUCUAGUGGCGCACGGGUGCGUAACGCGUGGGAAUCUGCCCUUGGGUUCGGAAUAACUCGCCGAAAGGCGUGCUAAUACCGGAUGAUGACGUAAGUCCAAAGAUUUAUCGCCCAAGGAUGAGCCCGCGUUGGAUUAGCUCGUUGGUGAGGUAAAGGCUCACCAAGGCGACGAUCCAUAGCUGGUCUGAGAGGAUGCUCAGCCACACUGGGACUGAGACACGGCCCAGACUCCUACGGGAGGCAGCAGUGGGGAAUAUUGGACAAUGGGCGAAAGCCUGAUCCAGCAAUGCCGCGUGAGUGAUGAAGGCCUUAGGGUUGUAAAGCUCUUUUACCCGGGAUGAUAAUGACCGUACCGGGAGAAUAAGCUCCGGCUAACUCCGUG
rnacentral:rRNA from 1 species